GCAUCUUCAACCUCCAGCCAGAUAUCCAGCCCCUGUACGUGAACGAUACGGAGAAGUAAACCCCGAAAAUCUCAACGAUUUCGUUGCGUUUUCCACGGAUUCUUCGACCUAUAAAUACCCCCAAACCUCCUCUAUCUUCUUUCCCUAAAAUUCCUAAAUUUUGCGCCGCCAGGCUGCGCAAAUUUCUCGCCGGAGUUCACGCCGGAGAUCGUCACAGCCGCUGCCGUUGCCUUCGAUUGCAGCCAAGCCCCGGAGCAAGCCCACGAGGUCGCCGGAGUUCCAUCACCGUUCGCCUCACUCGGCCGCCCUUCGUCGACGCGCGAGAACGAACCAGAAGCCUCGGAGCACACUGCCGUAAUUGCUAACUCCCGAGGAACAUUAUCAAAGACGCCCGCCCGCAACCAGAGUCUCCCAGUCGGUACUAUUGCUCGGAUUGCAACGAGUGUGAUUGCGACGACUGUCUGAACACCGACCAAGG